rnacentral:tRNA from 2 species
GGCUGGGUAGCUUAGUUGGCUAGAGCAUCCGGUUCAUACCCGGAAGGUCGUGGGUUCGAGUCCCACCCCAGCCACCA